GCAACUUUAUGCAGAGGCGAAUUCA
rnacentral:piRNA from 1 species